AUUGAACGCUGGCGGCAGGCCUAACACAUGCAAGUCGAGCGGAUGAAGGGAGCUUGCCCCUGGAUUCAGCGGCGGACGGGUGAGUAAUGCCUAGGAAUCUGCCUGGUAGUGGGGGAUAACGUCCGGAAACGGGCGCUAAUACCGCAUACGUCCUGAGGGAGAAAGUGGGGGAUCUUCGGACCUCACGCUAUCAGAUGAGCCUAGGUCGGAUUAGCUAGUUGGUGGGGUAAAGGCCUACCAAGGCGACGAUCCGUAACUGGUCUGAGAGGAUGAUCAGUCACACUGGAACUGAGACACGGUCCAGACUCCGACGGGAGGCAGCAGUGGGGAAUAUUGGACGAUGGGCGAAAGCCUGAUCCAGCCAUGCCGCGUGUGUGAAGAAGGUCUUCGGAUUGUAAAGCACUUUAAGUUGGGAGGAAGGGCAGUAAGUUAAUACCUUGCUGUAUUGACGUUACCAACAGAAUAAGCACCGGCUAACUUCGUG
rnacentral:rRNA from 1 species